CAAUGAUUUCGAACUAUAGCCUACAUUGAAAUGGAUCUCAGUUAUAGACUGUGGGCUCAGUGUAGAGAACAAGAGAACCAAAAUGGUCUUCACGGACAUCACCAGACACUGCAUACCCCACCUUCACCUUGGAACAAACAACAAUAACAGGAAAGGCAAAGAAGAUGGAGGAAGAGUUGUCAUGCUGCGUACCUGGUGUGGCCUCCGAGGGUCCGCGUCUCCACGCUGACGGAGGUUUGUUGGUGGAACAGCCGCUGGAAUGCUGCACCUGACCCGUGACGCACAUCUGGGGCUUUCCACUCCUCCGUCGGUCCCUCUCUCCUUCCCUCCCUCCUGUCUCCCCUCCUUAGAGUGAAGGAAGAAUAACAGACGGGUCAAAACAGGAAAGAAGCCUCCGCACGACCCAUCGGGGUCACUCCUCUGAGAGUUCGGAGACAUGAGUGAGUGAGUGUGUGGUGUCUGUUCAACGGCUCCCAUGGAUGAGUAGUACGUCUAAGAUCUGCACUUCAACAUCUCGCUGUGGUUGCAGGGAGGACUGGCCAACCUGGCAGGCUGACGAGGAUGACAGAGGCAGGGUCAGAGCCUCUGCGUCUGUUUGCCCUAUCACUUGUGCCAGAACAGAUCCAGGUCCAGUCUGGUGAAGGAGCUCCUCCACGCCCUAACUCUGCCAUGUUCAUGGAUGGAACCUCACUGCAGUCAGCACAGCUUAGAGCUGGAAAUGAAAGAUGGCC
ensembl:lncRNA